CCCAAGCUGAAGGCAGACACCCAGCUAUCUGAGCCACCCAGAUGUCCCUGGAAAAGCCAUUUUGAAAUCUCAUAUAGCUUUGCAGAGGGUAACAUCACAAAUUCCAAAUUCCAAAUGAUUUUGUAUUUGUAUCAAUGAGAUGUUUCUAGUGCAUUGUUAAUUACUUUAGUGGGAGUUUUUCCCCAGUGUUUUCCCCUAAAGCCCUCUUUUUUCUUUUCUUUCUUUCUUUCUUUUUUUUUUUUCUAAAACCACUCCAUGCCAUGUAUCCGGUGACACGGAAAACGCUUGAACAAGCAGCAGCCCCUGAGUGCCUUAUCCUCUGGAACCCCUGCAUUAUUUUAACAGCGACAUGAGCCUUCUGAACAACCUCAGCCCGUGCAAUGGAGAGAGAGAAGGCAGACACCAAUGGCUCUGUUGAUACUGGAACAUUUUCACCUGCCUAACGAAGCUGCCUUUGCCUGCCAUGUUCCUGACGUUCCCAACCCCUCCCGCUUCACCCCAUCCACCUGAACUAUGAGCUCAAUCAUUUGCUUAAAGCACCCCCAUCUGUUUUGGAAGGAAAUCUUUGGGUAUAAAUUACCUGGAAGGAAAGAGAAGAGAAGA